GUAUGCAGAGAGACAUGAAGCCACAGAGAACUGUACUGUUUUAUCUUUAACCCAGUAAUAACACCCUUGAGGGAAGUGUUUUUUGUGAUUUUAUGUAGUGUUAUGAAGCACCACAGAUCUGGGUGGGGCCUCACAGAGACACAAGGCUGCUGUGGGCUGUAGAGGAUGUUCAUUCUGGAACCUGUAGCAUAAAAAACAAACUCAAAAUGGCUAAAACAUGAAACUAAGGAGCUGAAACAGAAAACGUAAACAUCCCAUCUGCUAAUAUUCAGGUACUUUAAUGUGGGAUUUCUACUACAGCAUAUUUACAUAGUAUUUCCAUGCUUUAAUGUUCAACAACACAUGAUUUGUCUCACACGUCUAAAUGGACCUGUAUUCCCCUUCUGUCUCAUACACUUGGUUUUAGUGGUUCUCUGUACAAUUUUGAGUCACUUUACUCACUGAGCUGGUAGCUAAAGUAUGCUUUGCUGCAUCCACAGCAGGACAUUGCUUAGCUUCUGUGCCGGUAGAUUUAUUUUAUUAAAGAUGUUAACAAAACACAGUUCAUAAAAUAAGCACAGGUCUCCCAUGUUUAACUCUAUCUUUAUAAUGUACAGUUACAACUGAAAAUGACAACAGAAAUAAACUAGUUUGCCAAAUGAAAGUACCUCCCUUCAAAACAGUGGGCAGUUUUCUACCUGUAAGAUAUUGUUAUUGUUAAUGCAACUUUAUGAUGAUUUGGUCAAUAUAGUAAAUUUGUGACAUCACAAAUUCACAGAAGUACUAAUAUAAAGGCACAGUUUCUGAGUGCAGCCUGUUGACAUGUCUCUGUGGACAGACAGCUUUGAUACUUUCACAAUUUUUACAUACAGCCCCUUCACCUGCUUCAUGAUAAAAAAGAAAUGGAAAACUGACUUUUUAAAAUAUGGAACCUUUAAGUUAAACCACACUGUCAUAAAUAAGUUUAGAUUUUUAUGUUAUGAACCUGUUUUGAGUAUGUAAAAAUGCCAAAGAGCUGAAACACAAUGAUGUGUCACGUAAUUUUCUUUUUUAAAAAUGGUUCACAUAAUAUUGGUAUGAAAAAAAGAUCGUUCACGAACUGUUAUCAAAGUAUUUGAACUGUUUGAAUGACCCUCAGUUCAUUCAUUGUAUGGAUCAUUGAUAUCAUGUCAUUUAUCAAUAAUGUCUCCUAUGCGAAUUAUUUUACCCUUUACAAGGCAAACCCACCAGUUAUCCCAUACAGAGGAGUCUCUCUGCUUACUGGGACGGACUGUCCAGUCAGCCUCAACCACUGUGAGAGGUAUGUCAUCUGUCUGUUCCCAUGAGGUCGUCCUGCUGCAGGGAUGGUAAUUAGGCUUAAGUGGAGCCACUAAAGCUUUGUGCAUCCUUGCCAAGCCAAGAUACAAAUCAGCAUUUGCUCGCUGUCUUAUUCAUUUCCCUUCAUUUUUACAGUUGAUCAGUCGAUCAAUCAAUCAGUGAGGAUCUGUCACUACUGGAGUUUUAUUUUUAUAGCUCCUUCACUAUUAAUGACACUGUAUCCACAUUAUGAUAGUGUGUGUGUGUGUGUGUGUGUGUGUGUGUGUGUGUGUGUGUGAUCACAGUGACCACAGAGCAGAAACAUGAGCAGUCAGCUGACUGAACCAACGUUUUAUCCACAUUAUCUAAAGCACAGCCCUCACAACACAAACAGCUGUGAGUAAUAAAGUAGGGAGUGAAGCUGUAAACCAACUGAUGUUUACAGACAGUUUGGCAAUAAUUUCACUGCUCAUCUUCAUUUUCUCUUCCAGAUAACUGUGUCAGAGUUGGAGGUUUGUUUCCAGUCAGUCUCAUCACUUCAUUUCUCUUCAGAAUGUCUCUCUGUUCUUAUUUAACACAGUCAUAUUUUGGCAAGAACUACAUUGAAACGCAGACACUUCCCCCAGAAGCUGUUAUCCUGCAUGGCCUGUGAUUUUUACCUGUCAAUUUCACAAUCACAUUCUUUAUAAACUCCUACUGGGGACAAUGUGCUGAAAGAGACAGGCUCUGUAAUUAGCAGAAUAUUAUCAGAAGUUCACUGUGCACCACACAGCUGUUUUUGGAUGAAAAAAGCUUCUUAAAGAGUCCUGUGAGCUCAGCUGGACAUGAGCAAAGCUCCACACAUUGGGCCUUGUGCAAAAAACAAUAUACAAGCAAAUUUUCUCUUGUUUUUGUUCCUAUCCACUGUUUGCUCUUAUUUUGUUUUUAGCCACUGAUUUUGGGAAUUUACCAUUGUUUUCUUACUUUGUUCUUCUCUGAGAUGAAAGAAAAUUGUGGUGGUUUUGUUCUGUCUAGGAGUGCUUUUUAUUGUGUAUCUGUGUGCUUGUUUUGUCUUCUUGUUCUGCUGUGUUCCAGGGGCUGGGCGUGGCUUCUGGGUGCUGGAGCUCACGGCUCACUUCCUCACCUGCUCCUCAUCAGUGAUCAACCUGCAGCAUAUAUACCGCGGCUUCUCUCCUGUUCGUUGCCAGAUUGUCUUUCCACCUUACCCUUGUACCUGCCGCCUCAGCGCCCAGCCCCCACCACCUUUGUGUUUGGAACCUCAUCGCUCACCUGCACGGAUCUGCAGCACUUCACCAGCCCCACCAUUCCCUCCAGCUUCUCCAGCCCUCACCACCCACCUUGCCGCUCCAUUCCUCCAAGCCACUCCAGCCUCCUCCGCCAUCUCAGCCACAGGACCCAUUCCCUCAACACCAUUCCCUUCAUUCAUUCCUUGCGCACAUAAAAAUCAUCGUUAUAUGAUUUAACCCCUUGUCUGUGUUUGCUCUUGCUCCUCUCGUUUAUUAUACU